AAGACUAUACUUUCAGGGAUCAUUUCAUUAGUUCUUGACUGGAGAAAUGUGUUUCUAAGGAGUUUGGUCUUGCUGCCCACGAUGAAGAGUUCAGAUGUUUCCUUCAGAGCAGAAAACUGGUGGAAAGACUUUGAGUGGC
rnacentral:snoRNA from 1 species